GUCAGCGACAGCAUUAGACACCUGAAGCCAGGGAGUACACAGGUGCCUUGAAACACCUGCACAGCCCUGCUUCGGAUAAGCCAUGGAGCGGAACUUGGAACAAAGGCAGGCCAGUACUGCGAAGGCCCGGAAAGAUAAUACUUUGGAGGCUCCGGUGAACAUCACUACAGAGGCUCCGGUGGACAUCACUACAGAGGCUCCGGUGGACAUCACUGCACAGGCUCCAGUGGACAUCACUGCAGAGGCUCUGGCGGACAUCACUGCAGAGGCUUGGAUGGACAGCAGCGCGGAGCCUCCCAAGGAAGAGUGGACUGACGAUGAUCAAGAACACAUCAGAGUAUUCCCUUAUCAGAUACGCCUUUCAGCUGCCAUGUCAGAUGUUACAGGCCUCCAAAAUGCUAACUCUGAAACCUCGUCACAGUUAUCAGAUAAAAUACCAACUGACUUGGAUGGGCCAUUCGGCUUGGGGUCUCUGGUUGUCCCUUCUUUGCAGCGUUUCAACAACAUCAACUUCUUUCUUAUCUCGUUCUGUAUAUUGACCCUAGCUCAAGGUAUUGUAUUUGGUCUGACUGAUUUGAGUAUUGGAAAUUUUGAGAGGGAUUUUUAUCUGUCACACCCAGAGAAAAUUCUAUUGACCACUGCGUAUGAUCUUUCAUCAUUAUUGGUAGUAAUUAUUGUAGCCCACUAUGGAGGCAGAGGGAGGAGGUCAAGAUGGGUGGCAACUGCCGCCUUUUUAGUAGGACUUGGAUCAAUUAUAGGUGCUCUCCCAUACUUGAAAUAUGAAGUUAUACAUCCGGUGGAAGAAACUGGAGAGUUGUGCAAAGAUGAAGAACAAAGAACAAUGCCAAAUUGUGAGAAAAUCAUACCAUUCAAAUCAGAAAUUAUCUAUCUUUCUGUCAUCGGGCAGUGUUUUCAGGGAUUUGCAUCGAUGCCGAUGUAUGUCCUUGGUAUGACCUACAUUUAUGACAACAUUUCCUCGUACUUGGCUGGGAUCUAUUUAGGUAUUGCAGAUGCUUCAUUCGUACUGGGAUAUGGUCUGGGUUAUGCAGUGGGAUCACCAAACCUUAGGCCUUCACUUAAUCACAGUUCUGAGGAAAAGGUAAAUGACAACUUUCUUUGGUGGCAGUUCAAUUGGUUUCUUGGUUUUUUUAGUGCCACUCUACUUGCGUGGUUCACAGUUUUCCCACUUUUAUGUUUUCCACACAGAUUACCUGGUUCAAACAAGCUAAGAGUAUGGAAGGAAAACGAACCUUUCUUUUACAAGAAGUAUAAAGAUUUAAAAUACGGAUAUAGUUUUCAGGAUCUGCUUCGUGCUCUUUGGUAUCUGGUUAAGAACCCGCUGCUGAUGUGCUACUCAAUGUGCAAAGCCACAGAGUCCUUGGCUUUGAUCGGAGCUACAGAAUUUUUGCCAAAAUAUUUAGAAAAUCAAUUUUUGUUAUCACCCUCAAGUGCUGCUCUGCUCACAGGAAUUAUUUUAAUUCCAGGAGGUGCAAUCGGCAAUUUUCUGGGAGGUUUCAUUGUUUCCAAGAUGAAAAUGUCUUGUAAAACCCAAAUGAGAUUUAUAACGGUAACAUCUGUUAUAUCACUUCUGCUUUUUGUGUUAAACGCUUUUGUGAAGUGUGAAAGAGUGAAAUUUGCCGGAAUCAAUAGCGAUUAUGAAGGAUCAGGUACCCUUGGAAACCUAACAGCGCCAUGCAACGCACACUGUGGUUGCACAAGUCACACCUACUAUGCUAUUUGUGGAAGAGAUGAGAUUGAAUACUUCUCUCCCUGCUUUGCAGGCUGCCUUAAUUCUAAAGAGUUAAACUAUGAAAAGACACUCUACAAUUGUUCUUGCAUUAAACAUGGACUGGCAAAUGCAGAUUCUGAAAAUGACCCCAUUGAUGCCUUCCUCGGAAAGUGUAACACCAAGUGCUAUGCACUGCCUUUGUUCUUUGCCUUUUUCUUUUCGUCAAUUGUCUUUUCCAGUUCAGCUAGUAUACCUAUCACCUUGAUUAUCCUCCGAACUUUACCUACAAGUUUACAUUCACUGGGCCUAGCUGUGACCUAUACAAUAUUGAGAAUAUUUGGUUCCAUCCCUGGACCACUGCUUUUUCGAAUAGCAUCAAGUAGUUCUUGUUCUUACUGGGACAUUAAUAAAUGUGGACUCAGAGGACAUUGUUGGAUAUAUAAUAAGUUUAAAAUGAUGUCCAUAUUGAUGGGAUUAUGUAUUUCUUGCAAAUUAAUCUCAACCUUGCUCUCCCUCUUGGCACUUUUAAAGUAUAAUGUUUUAAGAGUUGGAAGUGAGGGCGUAAAGAAAACAAAAGAAAGCAAAACAAGAAAAACGUAAUUCUUAACUGAUUUCUUCUUUGGUUUCCUGAGCUCCGAGGAACAAGAUUUGAUUGAGACAUCCCAUCUAAAGGACUGGAGAACCUGUGAGGGUCCAGGUUCGAAGGACAGCAGCCUAUCCUUUGGAGAUUUCCUAAGAUUGUGGCAGCACUGUAAUUUCAUAAGAGAAAAUUAUCAGAAAAAUAUCUAUGCAAAUUUUCAUUUCAUUAAUAAAGAAUACUUUUGUGAAAUG
rnacentral:lncRNA from 1 species